GAUGAACGCUGGCGGCGUGCCUAAUACAUGCAAGUCGAGCGAACAGACGAGGAGCUUGCUCCUCUGACGUUAGCGGCGGACGGGUGAGUAACACGUGGAUAACCUACCUAUAAGACUGGGAUAACUUCGGGAAACCGGAGCUAAUACCGGAUAACAUGUUGAACCGCAUGGUUCAACAGUGAAAGACGGUCUUGCUGUCACUUAUAGAUGGAUCCGCGCCGCAUUAGCUAGUUGGUAAGGUAACGGCUUACCAAGGCAACGAUGCGUAGCCGACCUGAGAGGUUGAUCGGCCACACUGGACCUGAGACACGGUCCAGCCUCCUACGGGAGGCAGCAGUAGGGAUUCUUCCGCAAUGGGCGAAAGCCUGCCGGAGCAACGCCGCGUGAGUGAAGAAGGUCUUCGGAUCGUAAAACUCUGUUAUUAGGGAAGAACAAAUGUGUAAGUAACUAUGCACGUCUUGACGGUACCUAAUCAGAAAGCCACGGCUAACUACGUG
rnacentral:rRNA from 1 species